ensembl:lncRNA
GGGGACUUAAAGGAGGGGUGGAUGUUUGGCACAAAUCCCGGACCAAAUGUCUCUUAUUUUCUCCGUCUGGAUUUUGCGCCCCAGUAUGAGAGCCUCCUGUCUGUAACCCAAUCCGCUCUGAUGCUCUAAUGCACUGUGUGUUAAAGUGGCUUAGAGAGAAAGGAAAAGAAACGAGAAGUGCUGAAAAGAAAACAUAAAAAGCAACAUGAAAAGAAUUGAAGCGCACGAGCGGAGGAGGAGGAGGAGGAGAUGGAGGAAAGUGGAGGGAGGGGGAAGUGAGGGGUUAAAUCCAGCCUGAGGAAACCUGAUGCUGAUGAACAGAGAGAGAGAGAGAGAGAGAGAGAGAGAGAGAGGGAGAGUGGGUUUGGGGUAGAGGGACAGACAGAGAGAUACAGCACCACUGGAGAGAUGAUGAGAGCACGCUGACAUUACGAACACCGAGCUGAAGAUCAGACAGCAGGUAGAUGAAUGAAUACAAGAUGACACCAGUGAGAAUCAUGCUGUUCCUGUGGGGUCUCCUGUGCAUGUGUGUGUCAGUGGGGAGUGUGUCGGAGCUGUGUAAAGGUUCUCGCUGCUUAGAGUUGGGGGAGUCCAGACCAUGUUCAGGGUCACAGUGUGGCUCGGGCAGACCAACACGUCAACACAACCCUUUAUCACGCAGCAGAUCUGCACCAACCCACCAACAUGCAGUCUCACACCUUCCUUCAGCAGACAUGCUGGAGUCACACACAGCUUCUCAUUCUCACACUAGGGAAAGGAUGCGGCUUGCCGAAGUCGCAGGUCACACGUGCUCUGGAGCGGAUUGCAUUACCACCAAAAGACCACCGCAGGCCAUUAAUGAUACACGAGAGUGCAGGGGGCUGGAGUGCAGACUGCCUUUGAGGAUCAGAACCAAGCCCAGAGUGAGGCCGUGCCCUCCAGACGGCUGCGGACCUGGCUCAGACGACGCUCCCGUGCACGUUCCGGACAGAGCUGCUCAGUUUCUGGGGGAAUUUCCGGAUAUCGGAUAUCCUUCGUCGGAACUUGGAGGUGCACCGCUGGGAGUGCAGCUUACAUGUGACAUCAAACCAGGAGAGAACGAGGUUCCCUCGGAAGAUGCCCUUGUCCUGCACCUGCAGCUCUCCAAAGGCCAGGAGAAGUUGGUGGAGGCACUGCGGGUGCAGCAGUUAGUGAUCCGCGACCUACAGCAGCGUCUGGAAGAGCAGCAGGGAGCGCUUCUGGCCCAGCAGCGUGAGAUCCUAGAGCAGCAGCGGCGCAUGUACGAGCAGAUGGACGUGGUGAAAGCGCAGUACGGCAUGCUGUCCGAGACCGUCAAGCAGGUGUCCUUUCAGGGCCUGCAGGGGGAGCUGCAGAGUUAUUUGGAAAGCCAGCUGGCCGGCGUGCAGAGCCAAGCUCGCAGCCACCUGCAGAAGUCGUAUGCCGUGCAUAAAACGGAUGCCAAGAUGAUAGACGUGACCGGGGACACGGAUCACGCUCUGCUCGGCUGUCGCAGCGCAUGUGGUCCUGAAGAGUACUGCAAUUUUCAAUUGCAGCCACCGCAGUGCCAACAGUGCACCAUGUGUCCACCUGGGUUCUUCCUGGUGUCUCAGUGUUCACCCAAUGCUGACAGGAUUUGCCAGGACAGAGAUGAAUGCCUGGAAAUCCCAACCGUGUGUGGAGAGAGAGUGAAAUGCCUCAAUACACCAGGUGGCUUCCGGUGCUUGGGCAUGUCCGAACGAGAGAUCUCUGCAGGCCUGUGUGGUCAUGAGUACUUCUACAAUCAGGAGCUACAGGAGUGCCAAGCAUGUUCAGACUGCGAUGGGGAGCCCAUAGCCGUUCCGUGUAGCACCGUGAGUGAUACAGUGUGUGGCGUGAUCUCAGAAAACACAUUCUCGCAGUCUUGGUCCGCCUCGGUCACUUUACCCCCAGCUCGAACAAAAAGCAGUGCCGUGUUCCCAGGUCUGCAGCUGAGCGUAAUGGGAAAGGAGGGGAGUGACCUUCUGGUCAGCCGUGAUGGUUCCAUCAGCCUCAAUCAGCACGGUCUGCUCUGGCUGGAUCACAACUUUGCCUUGAAGCACAGUUGCCGCAACUUUCUGCAGGUUGGUGUGAGGCUUAGUGGUGGCAGUGAGGAGGAAGGUCGCGACCUCAGUGGUGUACGGGUGGAGCAGCCAGAGAGGAAGCACUUCCAGGGUGUGAGUGUGAGUGCAGCAGCUGAGGUGGAGCCCAACCAGACUCUGUGGCUGCUUCUCAAGAGCCCAAACCAGCACUGCAACCAGAGCAAAGAACUGCAGCUUUAUGAGCUCGGAUCUUCAGCGUUCAGCCUGCUGUGGCUGUCACAUGACACCGGAGCCGUUUCAAUGACUGCUCAGACAUCUACGGCACCUCACUACCACGGUAACUAUCGGCCAUCCUUUCGUGUUGCUACUGUCUCUGACCCCUAUGUAGUGGCACUGACUCAUGAUAACCGCGGAAUUCGCUUCACUGAGCGAGGCGUUGUCAAGUUCGUCCUGCAGCAGGCACUUUAUGCCAUGGGCCACACGUGCGUCCGUGAAGGCUUCUCGCUAGUCGCCUACAUUAAUGGAAAUGGGACCAACCAGGAAGUAAUGCGCUCAUUUAAAUCCGGUGUCAACUAUCGGGACACCUCCAUCACCUUGUCUGCUACUACCAUCGUAGACUCGGGUGACUGGCUAAACUUUGAGAUUCUCACUCCGUCGCAGUGCAAUGUCCGAUACUUUGGAGACAGCUCUGGAAUUAGCAUGCUAAGUCUUCUCUGGAUUCCAGGUGCCAUUUCCUCAUCGCUAAUGGCCACCGUGUCCAGGACAGGCCUUCCAUCGGGAGCUGUGAGGAACAAACCUUUGUUGUUUCAGCAGCUUGGUCCGGAUGCCGAACACAUCCGGCUUGCUGGCGCGGGACACCAACACCCACAGAGGAAUUUUGUUUUCCAAGAAGCCGGGACAGCCAACGUGGCACUCACUGUAAAGCUGAUCCACUCAUGCAACGUGGUGAAGCUGGUGCUACAUCAGCAGGGCCAGGACAGGACGACUUCGGGUCCUGUGGCGCAGCAGGUUGGGGGUCAGAUGCCCGAGGGAAGCGAGUGGACCAGUGUUGGAGUCAGAGCGUCUUUCGAGGUCCAGAACGGCACAGCCAUUUACAUCACGCUGGACUGCAUACGCGGACGCAUCAAUCAAAUCACUCAUGACGAAGGUGCCAACAUUUCCAUCCUCUGGGUGGCUGCGUGACACCAGGAUUUCACUGCGUCUCAAUUCUUGCUCUUGUCAGAAACAGGUGCUUUCAGAAAAUCAUGGCCUUUGUUGUCGUAUGCACAGAAAAACGAGGUACGCUAUAGAAUGAAUUCCUUAUCUGUGGUCGCAAUUUAACACCAUUUAUAAUGAAAAGAAAUAUAAAUAGAAUAAUAUAAAAAAGAAAAAAAAAAUGGUGCUUCAAGAAAUGUGGUCUGGCCUAAACUGAACAAAUGGUUGGCAGGGUUAAUAUUCAAAAAUGUUGAAAUAUGAUAUCUAUAUAAUGCAAAGGUGCUAUUUAAAUCGAGUUAUAUCCUUUGUUUAUUUGUUGCUUUUUGUUUAUUCCAGCGUUUGCUUGUUCUAAUCAAUUUCUGAACAAAAAGUACUGAUUGCUUUCCAAGUACUUUGGCUGGUUGAGCGUGACCAAUCUUUAUUGAGGGAAUGAACCUUUUGAUUCUGCUUAAUGUUGAGAUGAUUGUGUGUGUGUGUGUGUGUGUGUGUGUGUGUGUGUUGAUCUAUGUGUGUGUUGGGUUAUGAUGUUGCCAUGCAUAUAUAAAAUGCCAUACCGCAGUCCUAUACCUUAAACAUUGUACAGUAAUGGUAAUUCAAAGGAUUUAUCUAUUUUAAAAUCAUUUUUUUCGGUCUUAAUUAUGCACAUAUAUCUUACAUUCUCACUUAAAGUUUUGAGUCGAAAUUUACAUUGGAAUCCCUAUAAAGUAUAUAGACAAACGUUUAUAUAAAUCAAAUACAAAGACUAUGUGUAUAUAGGAUAAGAUGCAUACAUAGAUAUUUGUUGAGUCUUUCUACAGAAAUUUAUAGGGUAAGGAGAAAAAUACAGUUGAGUGCAAAACUUUGCACCCCCCCCAUAACAACCCCCAGCUCCAGGGGUGUAAGCUGGACUGUUAAUUAUCCGGGGCUGAGCCCAGAUUCUACUCCAUCAAAAAAAUUUUUUACAGACCUACUUCUAUAUAGACUGUUUCCAUGCAUUUUUUUUCCUUGCAUGUGAGGGCUAUAUGAUUAAAAAAGUGUGAAAAAAGUUGGAUUUAUCAUAAAAUUGGCCUGUUAUCACUGUUCCCUGCAGGACUACCAGACGGAUAAAAUAUAAACCAUUUUGCCGAUCUAACACAAGACUAGGCUAGUUUGGUGUCGCUAGUGAAGGGGAGGCACAGCUGAGGUAAUUUUGUAUGGGUUUAGCUGCUACAGAGCCUUGCAGAGUACGUUAUCUGUCCUUAUGCUCUGCUCAUAUCGUGUUCACGUAACUUGGCGCUCAUAUAGACAUUUGCACCUCUUGUUUCCUGCUCGGCGUGAGAGGAUGUUACGGUGAUGUGGUUCAGUUUUAACAUACAUUUUUCCCGCUCACACUAACCGACUGUGUGAGCUAGCGUAUGGCAGAAUUGAGAGCCUUCAGCCAAUAAGACGCGAGUAUUUCCACUUCCUGUAAACCCCGUCUGAAUGGUCUCGUCUUCGUUCACUGAAGAUACGAAAUUACGACACCGUCAUCUUCUUUUACUCAUGUUUAGUUACUUCCAAGUGGAGGAUUAUUCAGGGUUAAAGAAAAAAAAAAAUCUUUAGGGCUACAGCCCCGAAUUCCCAGGCCAGGUUACGCCCCUGCACAACCACAACUAGGUUUCUGAGCGGCGGGCAAGGGUGGGGGUGGGGGGUUUGGGGGGUGGGUGGGGCUUGAAAAUCUUUUUUAUCUUGAUUUUCUUACAAAAGACAGUGCGGAAUUACCAGAAUAACAUAAAAAAGAAAUAAGUGAAAAACAUUGCAACAACAGAGAAGAUCCAAACGUUGCUGAGAAGAAUCGAAAGAAGAAGUGGCAGCUAUGGAGGAAAAGUGAGGGCCUACAAGUCAUAAGAGUAGUAUACGGCGGUUUGACGAGUUUUGAACUCGAUACAGGUCUUUUUUUCAUUAUUAAUAUCGAUUAACAUACACUAUUUAACCUUCUUUUGUUACUCGUAACAUUGAAGAUCUGUAAAACAGAACAGGCUCCGUAGUGUGUCGUGUGUUUAACAUACACUGCAAUUUAUUUUGUGUGUGUGUGUGUGUGUGUGUGUGUGUGUGUGUUCCGCUCUUAUAGUAAUUACAGCGAACAUGAAGUUUUAGUAUCCCGGUAAUUUCCUGACGUUUUAUCGCAGUUGAUAUCACAAUGAUGAACGGUAUUAUCACAAUACUGUUUUCAACGCGUACACGUUUAUAUGUAGCGAUCGUACGUGGAGUGGAAAUGUCUGUCCGUUCUGUUUUUUUUUUUUUUUAUCCAUACUCGUGUGUAUCUCUCAUCCGGUGAAAAGCUUCGAUGGGAUGGCCUUUUCUUUGAGGACUACGAAAUAAAGAAAGAUCGGAAGAUUUCACAGGUACACUGCCAUCCUACAGUAACGGGACAAAACCCAGGAACGCUGCCUCCUUCUGGCGGAGACACGGAUGGGCGUGAGGGUAUUUUGAAGUGUCUAUGUGAGCCACAUCGUGCAUGCUGAAUCUCUCGAUCUAUUGUGUAACCAAUGGCGAAAAGAAGAAAAAAAAAAAAAAGCAAAUCAUUUCAGAUGCUUGUGCUUGGAACUGUUACUAAUUUAUUUAUUCUGCAAAGAAGAAAAAAAAAAUGAUGAUAAUUAAAAUCUGCAGAAUGAAACGUGGUAUUUUGUCAAGGCUGAAUAAAAAUGUGCUUCUAUUUCGACGGAACUUUUAAACCGUUUUAGCACAAAGGUUGUCGGAUGUCCCUCACGGUAUGUUCAGGUGGAUUCGAUUUAAAUUGCACUUGUUAUGCACCAUCUCACCCUCUAACGGUUUACAAUUUCAGCCGCAUUCUUGACUCGUCGCUCGGAAAGCGAAGGGCGUUCUAUCGGAUUUUCUUUGCACAGUCCAAUAAAAAGUCCAAUAAAAGCAUUCGACAGAGUCACGUCUUGGUUAACGAUCAGCAGCUGUUCCCUGAACACACGUAUCGAAGUUUGAUUGUGGGAGAGGAGGUGAGUACACGCUUCCGCUUCCAUUAACUUCUAGUUAUUCUUUAACGUCACAGAACUGAAGCGGCGUUCUACUUUUACCGAGUCAUCAAACCCCCCGAAUGAAACACCAGACUACAGGAUGUGGAUAUUUAUGAUGGAAACACUUCCUUUGAAUCCGGUAUUCAUAACACAUUAUGAAUGCCUCAUAUACGGUGCCCUCCAUUAAUAUUGGCACCCUUGGUAAAUAUGAGCUGUGAAGGCUGUGAAAAUUUGUCUUUAUUGUUGAAACUUUCGAUCUUUUAUGCAAAAAAAAAAAAAAAAACAUUCACAGAAGUACCCCCGCUCUCGUGGAUAUCUGCAAACACAACUGCAAACACGACACAGGUUUAUUUAUUUUAAAAAAAGAAAAAAAGUUUAGCAAAUAGAGGCGUGCAACGAUUAUCGGCUCCCUUUUAGUCAAUAUUUCGUGCGGAGUAUUCUCGGGAAUUUUUUUUUUUAACAAAAGCUCAAAAGGUUCAACAAUAAAGAGAAUUUUCCACAGACUUCACGGCUCAUAUUUACCAAUUCCAUCUACCCGUCUAUCUAUAUCCAGGUAUCUAUCUAUCCAUCGAUCCACCCAUCUAUCUAUCCAUCAAACUCUCCAUCUAUCCAUAUAGCCAUCUAUCCAUCCAUAAGCUUAUGCAAACACUCAUAUGGUUUUCUUUUGAUUUCAUUUGAUCGCGAUUGGUCAGAAGGUGUUGAUUCGUUUUCUACAACAAAUCGCAGGUUUAUAUUAACGCGCUCGUACUACAGUAAUACGUUAUCCGCUCAUUCACAGGGACGUCACAUAACUCUCAACCUAAUCUAAGUCCACCCAUCCAUCCAUCUUCUAUACCGCUUUAUCUUUUUCAGGGUCACGGGGGAACCUGGAGCCUAUCCCAGGGAGAAUCGGGCACGAGGCGGGGUACACCCUGGACAGGGUGCCAAUCCAUCGCAGGGCACACAUUCACACACUCAUUCAUACACUACGGACACUUUAGACACGCCAAUCAGCCUACCAUGCAUGUCUUUGGACUGGGGGAGGAAACCGGAGUACCCGGAGGAAACCCUCGCAGCACGGGGAGAACAUGCACACUCCGCACACACAGGACCACGGUGUAAUCGAACCCCGGACCCUGGAAGUGUGAGGCGAACGUGCUAACAACAACAAAAAAAUUGAUAUGCUGAAGAUUUCUGUGAGGGGACGUUUAUGUAACAUUUAUGGAGUCUCCAGUCAGAGGUCAGAGGUCAAGCUCUAACCAAGUUUCCGAACACUGGAAGGUCUUUGCGUUUUUGUGGACUGUAUGUAACAAGAGAAGGCGUGUUUUUUUUUUUUUUUUUGCCUUAGAAACUUAUAGAGAACACUCAGGACCCUUCAAAACCCCGGUAGACUAAAUGAAACAGUUACCUCGGUUUUUACCAUGACAUCAGAAAGACCAUACUCACCGCCAUAACUCUUUCUAGAGCAUUCUAAUAUCUGUAUUUGUUUAUAUUGUUUAAACACGAUUACUCACCGAGUUAGGCGGUAGUCUAGGUUCGGUCAGAACGUGACUAACAGCCCCUGAUUGCGAAGAGCUAAUACACAGCUUUCUGUCUGUGCUGUGAAUUAAAAGCAGGUGUGAAAUGCGCUCAGCUCCAGAUGUUUUAUAUUGAAGAUCAAAUGAGAUCAGAAAAGUAACCAGACCCCAAAAAAAAGAGUCAGAAAGGAUAGGGGGGGAAAAAAAAUACACACCGUCAUAGACAUUCAACAGUCUGUAGAUCAAACCUGUCUCACAUGAUGAAUGCUGAUGACAUCACCCACCGCCUUUUGGAAUUCUCGAUUCUGAUUGGUCAGAGAGUGUUUGAUUAUUUUUCUGACAGUAGUGCAGCUCCAAAUCACAGGUUUACGAAUAUUAAUGCGCUAUAAUAAUUCCAAUACCUAAUACACAGGAACUUGUACUGUUUAUGCUCCACAUAACCAUAUUUUAAAAAAAAAACACACACACACACACACAUAAAAAAAAACGUGUCAUAGUAGAUAUUUAUUUAACAUUUGUUGAUGGCGUCUCCAAUUUCCGACAUCCCAAAGCACCGUGUUUUGAAUGCCCGCUCAAACACAAUCGCAAAACUGUCAUUUGAUUUGAAACAGCGUACAAAUUUGGUUCGCAUGCAGUUGGAAGGGAAAAAAAAAGAAAAAAAAAAAAAAAAAAAAAAGGCAUCAGAUUUCCAGUUUAUUUUGGAACAUAUACGGUUUCUUUAACAGCUCUGUACUGGGGUUGAAUCCUGUCCCACUCGUACGUUACUUUGGAUCUAACGAACGAAUAAGCGUUCAAGAUAAACAUGAAAAAAGCGGCAGGUUCUGUCCGAAGCUCCGCCUCUGAACGCCGACAAAGCAUUUUUUCCCCCCCGAAUCACCUUGAAUUUACUUUAUUAGCUGUAGAUGUUACAGAUUAGCAGUCAGCCUCCGUAAUCCUUUCCAUCUCAACAUUUUACAGAUGUGUCUACAUCAUGGCUUCAUUUUCAUGGUUAGCUUUGACAGGGUGUAGGAUUUUUAUGUGGAAACAGUUAUAAAGUCAGACUGGCUGUUCCAAAUAUUUACAUGCUUUCAUUUGGCAGAUAUUUAUUAAAUAAUAUCCGAUCCGGGAAAUCGAUAGCGCAGAACGUUAAAGGAAUACUCCGGGGUUUUUCGACCUGAUUUCUGUGUACUGCGUGUGUGUGAGUUAUACUGUAUGUGUGAUUACCACAGACGAAGAAAGUCAUGUUUCCCUGUAUUGAGAACAGAAAACCCGGACGUAUAGGGGCAGUUAUUAGAACAAUCGGGAUAUAAAAAAAAAACCAAAAAACAACAUUUCAGCGUUCAUUAAUUCAUGCGUUCAUUAAGCCUUCAAUCAGAGUAAUGAUUGUAAAUGAAGCUGUAUAAAUCAUCCUUGCAACACAUGGGGCUACUUUUACUCAGGGAACCGUUUGUGCGGCUCUGAUGGAACAUGGACACAGCAAAAGCCUUGGGGAGAAUAUAACGUAACUGGAACUUUUUUCAGCUGUCCAGUUUUGGUGAGCCCGUGCUCACUGUAGCCUCAGAUUCCUGUUCUCGGCUGACGGGAGUGGACCCGGAUGUGGUCUUGUGCUGUUAUAGCUCAUCCACCUCAAGGCUCAAGAUGUCGUGCAUUCUGAGAUGCUUUUCUGCUCACCACGGUCGUAAAGAGUGGUUAUUUGAGUUACCGUAGCCUUCCUGUCGGCUCGAACCAGUCUGGACGUUUUCAUCUGAACCUUUCUCGCGAACAAGGGAAGUGGUGAAGACGUUGGACUUCUGAUCGGAAGGUUGUGAGUUGAAAUGGUCUGCACUUGUGUCUCCGUCACACAUUCUCACACACAUUCAUACACACAUCAGUGGUAGCAGAGCUGCAAUGCAAGGCGCUAACUUGCCAUCGGGAGCAACUCGGGGUUCGGUGUCUCGCCCAAGGACACUUCGGUGUGUGGAGUCACGUGGGCCGGGAAUCAAACCUCCAACCCUACGAUUAGUGGACAAUCGAACCUCCAAGUCUACGAUUAGUGGAUAACCCGCUCUACCACCUGAGUCACAGUCUACCACAAAUCCCAGCACUGCCAAGCCACUGUCGGGCCCUUAAGCAAGGCCCCUAACCCUCAACUGCUCAGUUGUAUAAUUGAGAUAAGAUAAUAAU